GAUGAACGCUGGCGGCGUGCCUAAUACAUGCAAGUCGAGCGAACAGAUAAGGAGCUUGCUCCUUUGACGUUAGCGGCGGACGGGUGAGUAACACGUGGGUAACCUACCUAUAGGACUGGGAUAACUUCGGGAAACCGGAGCUAAUACCGGAUAACAUUUGGAACCGCAUGGUUCUAAAGUGAAAGAUGGUUUUGCUAUCACUUAUAGAUGGACCCGCGCCGUAUUAGCUAGUUGGUAAGGUAACGGCUUACCAAGGCGACGAUACGUAGCCGACCUGAGAGGGUGAUCGGCCACACUGGAACUGAGACACGGUCCAGACUCCCACGGGAGGCAGCAGUAGGGAAUCUUCCGCAAUGGGCGAAAGCCUGACGGAGCAACGCCGCGUGAGUGAUGAAGGGUUUCGGCUCGUAAAACUCUGUUAUUAGGGAAGAACAAACGUGUAAGUAACUGUGCACGUCUUGACGGUGCCUAAUCAGAAAGCCACGGCUAACUACGUG
rnacentral:rRNA from 1 species